GUGGCGAACGGGUGAGUAACACGUGGGUAAUCUGCCCUGCACUCUGGGAUAAGCCUGGGAAACUGGGUCUAAUACUGGAUAUGACCUUUCUCCUUAUGGGGUUUGGUGGAAAGUUUUUCGGUGUAGGAUGAGCCCGCGGCCUAUCAGCUUGUUGGUGGGGUGAUGGCCUACCAAGGCGACGACGGGUAGCCGGCCUGAGAGGGUGAUCGGCCACAUUGGGACUGAGAUACGGCCCAGACUCCUACGGGAGGCAGCAGUGGGGAAUAUUGCACAAUGGGCGGAAGCCUGAUGCAGCGACGCCGCGUGAGGGAUGACGGCCUUCGGGUUGUAAACCUCUUUCAGCAGGGACGAAGCGUAAGUGACGGUACCUGCAGAAGAAGCACCGGCUAACUAUGUGCCAGCAGCCGCGGUAAUACGUAGGGUGCGAGCGUUGUCCGGAAUUACUGGGCGUAAAGAGCUCGUAGGCGGUUUGUCACGUCGUCUGUGAAAUCCUAGGGCUUAACCCUGGACGUGCAGGCGAUACGGGCUGACUUGAGUACUACAGGGGAGACUGGAAUUUCUGGUGUAGCGGUGGAAUGCACAGAUAUCAGGAAGAACACCGAUGGCGAAGGCAGGUCUCUGGGUAGUAACUGACGCUGAGGAGCGAAAGCAUGGGUAGCGAACAGGAUUA
rnacentral:rRNA from 1 species